GAUGAACGCUGGCGGCGUGCCUAAUACAUGCAAGUCGAGCGAACAGACGAGGAGCUUGCUCCUCUGACGUUAGCGGCGGACGGGUGUGUAACACGUGGAUACCCUACCUAUCAGACUGGGAUAACUUCGGGAAACCGGAGCUAAUACCGUAUAAUAUCUUGAACCGCAUGGUUCAAUAGUGAAAGACGGUUUUGCUGGCACUUCUAGAUGGAUCCGCGCCGCAUUAGCUAGUUGGUACGGUAACGGCUUACCACGGCAACGAUGCGUAGCCGACCUGAGAGGGGGAUCGGCCACACUGGAACGGAGACACGGUCCAGACGCCUACGGGAGGCAGCAGUAGGGAACCUUCCGCAAUGGGCGAAAGCCUGACGGAGCAAGGCCGAGUGAGUGACGAAGGUCUUCGGAUCGUAAAACUCUGUUAUUAGGGAAGAACAAAUGUGUAAGUAACUAUGCACGUCUUGACGGUACCUAAUCAGAAAGCAACGGCUAACUACGUG
rnacentral:rRNA from 1 species